AGAGUUUGAUCCUGGCUCAGGAUGAACGCUGGCGGCGUGCUUAACACAUGCAAGUCGAACGAAGCGCUUAAAUGGAUUUCUUCGGAUUGAAGUUUUUGUGACUGAGUGGCGGACGGGUGAGUAACGCGUGGGUAACCUGCCUCAUACAGGGGGAUAACAGUUAGAAAUGACUGCUAAUACCGCAUAAGCGCACAGUGCUGCAUGGCACAGUGUGAAAAACUCCGGUGGUAUGAGAUGGACCCGCGUCUGAUUAGCUAGUUGGUGGGGUAACGGCCUACCAAGGCGACGAUCAGUAGCCGGCCUGAGAGGGUGAACGGCCACAUUGGGACUGAGACACGGCCCAAACUCCUACGGGAGGCAGCAGUGGGGAAUAUUGCACAAUGGGGGAAACCCUGAUGCAGCGACGCCGCGUGAGCGAAGAAGUAUUUCGGUAUGUAAAGCUCUAUCAGCAGGGAAGAAAAUGACGGUACCUGACUAAGAAGCCCCGGCUAACUACGUGCCAGCAGCCGCGGUAAUACGUAGGGGGCAAGCGUUAUCCGGAUUUACUGGGUGUAAAGGGAGCGUAGACGGCGAAGCAAGUCUGAAGUGAAAACCCAGGGCUCAACCCUGGGACUGCUUUGGAAACUGUUUUGCUAGAGUGUCGGAGAGGUAAGUGGAAUUCCUAGUGUAGCGGUGAAAUGCGUAGAUAUUAGGAGGAACACCAGUGGCGAAGGCGGCUUACUGGACGAUAACUGACGUUGAGGCUCGAAAGCGUGGGGAGCAAACAGGAUUAGAUACCCUGGUAGUCCACGCCGUAAACG
rnacentral:rRNA from 1 species